UACAGAGGGGGCAAGCGUUAUUCGGAAUUAUUGGACGUAAAGGGCGCGUAGGCGGCUUGGCAAGUGGAAGGUGAAAUCCCUCGGCUCAACUGAGGAACUGCCUUCCAGACUGCUUUGCUUGAGUCCGGGAGAGGUGAGUGGAAUUCCCAGUGUAGCGGUGAAAUGCGCAGAUAUCAGGAAGAACACCCGUGGCGAAAGCGGCUCUCUGGAACGGUACUGACGCUGAGACGCGAAAGCGUGGGGAGCGAACAGG
rnacentral:rRNA from 1 species